GCUCAGAUUGAACGCUGGCGGCAGGCCUAACACAUGCAAGUCGAACGGUAACAGGAAGAAGCUUGCUUCUUUGCUGACGAGUGGCGGACGGGUGAGUAAUGUCUGGGAAACUGCCUGAUGGAGGGGGAUAACUACUGGAAACGGUAGCUAAUACCGCAUAACGUCGCAAGACCAAAGAGGGGGACCUUCGGGCCUCUUGCCAUCGGAUGUGCCCAGAUGGGAUUAGCUAGUAGGUGGGGUAAAGGCUCACCUAGGCGACGAUCCCUAGCUGGUCUGAGAGGAUGACCAGCCACACUGGAACUGAGACACGGUCCAGACUCCUACGGGAGGCAGCAGUGGGGAAUAUUGCACAAUGGGCGCAAGCCUGAUGCAGCCAUGCCGCGUGUAUGAAGAAGGCCUUCGGGUUGUAAAGUACUUUCAGCGGGGAGGAAGGGAGUAAAGUUAAUACCUUUGCUCAUUGACGUUACCCGCAGAAGAAGCACCGGCUAACUCCGUGCCAGCAGCCGCGGUAAUACGGAGGGUGCAAGCGUUAAUCGGAAUUACUGGGCGUAAAGCGCACGCAGGCGGUUUGUUAAGUCAGAUGUGAAAUCCCCGGGCUCAACCUGGGAACUGCAUCUGAUACUGGCAAGCUUGAGUCUCGUAGAGGGGGGUAGAAUUCCAGGUGUAGCGGUGAAAUGCGUACAGAUCUGGAGGAAUACCGGUGGCGAAGGCGGCCCCCUGGACGAAGACUGACGCUCAGGUGCGAAAGCGUGGGGGAGCAAACAGGAUUAGAUACCCUGGUAGUCCACGCCGUAAACGAUGUCGACUUGGAGGUUGUGCCCUUGAGGCGUGGCUUCCGGAGCUAACGCGUUAAGUCGACCGCCUGGGGAGUACGGCCGCAAGGUUAAAACUCAAAUGAAUUGACGGGGGCCCGCACAAGCGGUGGAGCAUGUGGUUUAAUUCGAUGCAACGCGAAGAACCUUACCUGGUCUUGACAUCCACAGAACUUUCCAGAGAUGGAUUGGUGCCUUCGGGAACUGUGAGACAGGUGCUGCAUGGCUGUCGUCAGCUCGUGUUGUGAAAUGUUGGGUUAAGUCCCGCAACGAGCGCAACCCUUAUCCUUUGUUGCCAGCGGUCCGGCCGGGAACUCAAAGGAGACUGCCAGUGAUAAACUGGAGGAAGGUGGGGAUGACGUCAAGUCAUCAUGGCCCUUACGACCAGGGCUACACACGUGCUACAAUGGCGCAUACAAAGAGAAGCGACCUCGCGAGAGCAAGCGGACCUCAUAAAGUGCGUCGUAGUCCGGAUUGGAGUCUGCAACUCGACUCCAUGAAGUCGGAAUCGCUAGUAAUCGUGGAUCAGAAUGCCACGGUGAAUACGUUCCCGGGCCUUGUACACACCGCCCGUCACACCAUGGGAGUGGGUUGCAAAAGAAGUAGGUAGCUUAACCUUCGGGAGGGCGCUUACCACUUUGUGA
rnacentral:rRNA from 1 species